rnacentral:rRNA from 1 species
AUUGAACGCUGGCGGCAGGCCUAACACAUGCAAGUCGAACGAGUGGCGGACGGGUGAGUAAUGUCUGGGAAACUGCCCGAUGGAGGGGGAUAACUACUUGAAACGGUAGCUAAUACCGCAUACCAUCGGAUGUGCCCAGAUGGGAUUGGCUAGUAGGUGGUGUAAAGGCUCACCUAGGCGACGAUCCCUAGCUGGUCUGAGAGGAUGACCAGCCACACUGGAACUGGGCCACGUUCCAUACUCCUACGGAGGGCAGCAGGGGGGAAUAUUGCACAAUGGGCGCAAGCCUGAUGCAGCCAUGCCGCGUGUAUGAGGAAGGCCUUCGGGUUGUAAAGUACUUUCAGCGGGGAGGCGUUACCCGAAGAAGAAGCACCGGCUAACUCCGUGCCAGCAGCCGCGGUAAUAC